GCCUACCCUGGGUGCACUUCGCUCCCGCCCCUGUAACGGAACUCGCCAAUCCGGAGCCGGGAAGGCUACUAUGGUGGCCAAUCAGAAGCAGGAACGCCGUUGCGCUGGGCUAGAAGCUGGCAGGAGGUGGAGGAAAAAAACCGAGGAGCGAACGGGCCUCGGGCUGCCCAAUGAGGAGAGCCGGGGGGCGGAGGUGUGCAAGUUGGGUUGAAGGAACAGGAAAUAUUCUUAAAGGUAGAGUGAUGGGCAAGAAGGAAAGCCAGUACGUGAUUGGGAAAGAGGUGGGCCUGGUUCCUUAAAGGGGACGCCUUGAGAACCCAGAAAAGAAGAUGUUUUAAGAAACUUCUUUGUGACCUGGUCUCUGUUCUGCUUUUCAUGUCUUUCAAUGGGAGUUUGGAAGUGGAGAAAAUGAAGAGGAAGAGGGCACGGAAAACUUUCGAAAUGAUUAGAGAGCUCCUCGUGAAAUAGAAGGCAAGAAAGGAAAGAGGCUGUCUCCAUAAGAAGGAGAUGAACUGCCGGAGGGGGCCACUGACAGCCUGGACAGGGACGGCACCUCUCUCAGCUCCACUUAUCCACUCCUUGCUCCUAGAGAUUAGGGCUGAGUAAAAUGUGCCUCCUUCCUGGAGACCCCUAUGUGCAGAGCCCGGCCCAAUGCGAGCAUUGGAGGUGCCCAUAGCCCUCUUCUGCCAGUCGUCCUCGCAGCGCUAGCGGUGCCAGGUUGGUUGGGAGCUUGCCCUGCGCCCUGGCCGGGCAGCCAAGUUCACACCAGAUGACCUUUGCCUGCCUCUUUCACUUUUUCUUGCCUCCUUCAUCUUCCCUUCUUCACUUGCCCUCACGUUCUUCCUUGGACCCCCUCGUCAACGUUGUGUGGCUUGCUUUUAACUCUCCUGUGUCAGAGAGUGAAUUGGAUUGGGUUUUCUUUUUAGAAGCCCAACUUCUGCUUUCCGAAAAGGAGGGGGAAUUCUUAAAUCCACUUCCCUGUUUUCCGAAGGAAUCGCCAAACUUUCCCAAAGUGCUCCUGUUACUUAUUCCACAUGCUCAACAGCAAUAUAUGAAGGUUUGAUAGUCUACAUCACCAUCAACAUUUGAUAUUGUCAGUCUUUUUUAAUGCCAGCCAUUAUAGUGUAUGAAGUGAUAUCUCAUUGUGAUUUUAGUUUUUCAUAUCUCUAGUAACCAUUAGCCCAUUUUAAACCAGGGAUGCUUGUUUCAUAAUUGACUUCAAAUGUCUUUAUGUGUUCUGGAUACAAGUCCUUUCUCAGAUACUUUAUACAAAUAUUUUCACCCAGGUUGUGAAAUGCCCUUGAAAACAAAACCAAAAUAGCUUUAUUAAGAUACGAUGGACCCACAAUUAACAGAACAUAUUUAAAAUGAACAAUUUAAAGUGAUGAAUUUUGACACACACCUGUGAAAACAUCUCUAAAAUAAAAAAUGAACAUAUCCACUCCUCCUACCCCCAUUUCCUCAUGUAAAGUUAAUUCCUUCCUCUUCCUUUCAUUAGGCAGUGUUGUCAGUUCCCCAGCAAACACUAAUCUGCUGUCACAAUAAAUUAUUUUUGUUUUCUAGAAUUUUAAACAAAUGAAGUCAUGCAGUAACACCAUCUUCUUUCAUUCAACAUAACUUUUGAGAGAUUCAUUCAGCCUUGUGUUUGAUCCCCAGCACCAAAAAAAAAAAAAUAUCAUUUUAUUGUAUGCGUCAAUAACGUAUUAGCUUUACAUGCUGAAGCCUUUCAUUGUGUGGAUGUAUCAAAUAAAUGUUGAUGUAUCUCUCCACUGUUUGUGGACAGUGGAAUUGUUUCCAGUGUUUAACUAUUACAAAUAAAGGUGCCAUGAACAUCUUGGUAAAAUCUUGGCACACAUAUUUGCUUUCAUUUACUUUGUAUAGCAUUUGGGUAACUGUCCAGUGAAAUAGUUGGAAUUAUAUGGUAGAUGUGUUCACCUUUUUAAAAAACUGCUGCUCAAAGUUUGACCAUUUUAUAUUACCACCAGAAGUGUAUGAGAAUUUGAAUUGUUCUAUAUCCUUGUGAACACUUGAUAUGACCGAUUUUUAAAAUUUUAGCAAGUUGAAUAGGCACAUAGUGGUAUUUCAUUGUGAUUUUAAGCAACUUUCUCUAUUGAACAAUGAUGCUGCAUCUUUUCAUGUACUUAGUAACUAUUUCUACAUCUUUGGUGAAGUGUUCAAAAUUUACCCUCUUCACUGGGUCUAAGUUUUUUUUUUUUUUUUUUUUAAGCUUUAUGUUUUCAUUUAGACACAUGGUGCAUUUUAUGGAUUUUUGUUUGGUUGGUUUUUGAGAUUGGAUUUUACUGUGUUAUCCAGGCUGAUCUCAAACUCAUGGGCUAAGCAUUCCUCUGCCUCCACCUUCCAAGUAGUUAGGAUUACAGGCAUGUGCCACUGCACCUUGCAAAGGUACAUUUAAAAUGAGUUUUUGUAUAUUGUGUUGGUAUGGAUUAAAGUUCAUAUUUUGGUAUUGGGAACUCCAAUUUUUCAGCACUAAUUAUUGUAUAGACUAUACUUAGCCACUGAAAUUUGUAAUUGUACUUUGAAAAGAAAUCAAGUGACCACAUGUUGUUUUGUUUGGGUAUACUGGGGAUUAAACCCAGAGGUGCUCUUCUGAGCUACAUCCCCAACCCCUUUUAUUUUUUGAGACAGGGUCCUGGUAAGUUUCUGAGGCUGGCCUCAAACUUGUGAUCCUCCUACCUCAGCCUCCCUAGUACCUGGUUACCACAUUCAGCACCAGAUUGUCUUUAUGUGGUUUUAUGUUUUGAAGUCAAGUAGUAUGAGGCCUGCAAUUUUCUUCUUUUAAAAUUGUAUUAACUAUUUUAAAGCCUUUGCAUCCCCAUAUAGACUUAUGCUUAUAAAACUUAAAAAAAAAUGAAAUUUUGACCAGGAUCUAUAAGUCAAUUUGGGGAGAAUUGACAAUUCAGUAAUUGUCUUUAGUUCAAUGAACAUGUUAUUUCUCUCCAUUUCAGUGUUUUCUUUUCUCUUUUUUCAGGUUGUGGGAACCACACCCAGGGCCUCUGGCAUGCUAGGCAACUGAGCCAUAUUCCCAGUGCUCUAAUACUCUUAAUACCUUUUUUUUCCUUUUCUUUUCUUUAAGGAUAUAUUGAAUCCCAGUGACUUGGGAGGCUGAGACAGGAGGAUCACAAGUUCAAGGCUGACCUCAGCAACUUAGUGAGGCUCUAAGCCUGAAACCCAUUCUCAAAAUAAAAAAUGAAAAAUGGCUGGAGACAUAGCUUAAUGGUGAAAUGCCACCGGGACCAAUCCCUAGUUUAAAAAACAAAACCUAGCAUUUUUUAACUUAAUUAUGUCUUCUACAAGUAAAAAAUAUUUUACUUUCUUCA